GUACAGUUGUCACAAGGGUCAGAUGUCUUUCAUUGGAACCUACAUGGGAAUGGGCGAUUCUCAGUGGAGUCUAUGUGUAAAGCUUUGAUCUAGUCUGACAUGUCAGUUGAUAAUAAGAAGAAGAUCUGGAAGAUGAAGAUACCUCUUAAGAAUAAAAUCUUUGCAUGGUACCUUCGUCGCGGAGUCAUUCUCACUAAAGAUAACCUUAUUAAGAGGAAUUAGCAUGGAAGUACGCAAUAUGUAUUUUGCCCGCGUGAUGAGACAAUAAAACAUUUGUUCUUGCAAUGGUCAGUCAUCCAACUAGCUUUUGGCUUGUAUCCUCUUUGUAGUGUUGCUAAUAUAUUUGUUUAUGAUUUGGUCGCAUUGGCUAUGUAG
rnacentral:rRNA from 1 species